UCACUGUUUUCAUUUGGUUAUUUUUUUCCCCUUUUUGUCAUAGGACCAACCCAGAAUAGAAUCAUGAGUUGCAGGAAAUAUCGAGAGUGUGAUAUCAGUGGAGCUGGAUCCUUUGCUGAGGACUCUCCUGGUACCUCCACAGCCAUUCCUGGUGGGAAACCAGAGCCAACCCGUGCCCCACUUUUUGGUGUGCGUGCAGCACCCACCUGCUUUCUGCUGCCAUGAAUGCAAUGUUUGGAUACCACUGGAGAGGCGCUCGGGCUCUGGUAGCAUUUGUUUCCACCCACCUUCUCCAGUUUGCUCCAUGAAAGCCAUCGGCUGCCUCGCACAGACCCGGAGCUCCUUCUGCAUGGAGCUGUGGGACAGUGAUGGGAGGAGGAGGAGGAGGAGCAGGAGCUGGAGCUGGAGCUGGAGCUGGAGCUGGAGCUGGAGCGAGGCUGCUCCCCAGGAGCCUCAGGAGUCGCUUGGGGCUGAAGAGCGAGGAGAAGCUCGUUUGUUAUGCAAAUAUCUGCUUCGGCCUGGCCUGGCAUAGGCAGUGGAAAGCUCUUGAAUUAUUUUAAGCAGAGGACAAAAGUUCUUUCCCUCCCCCUAUCAUCUUGGAUCCUUAUUAAAACAAAACAAAACAGAAACCUCUGUGUGAACCAUCUGAGGAUGAUCAGUGCUGUGCUUUGCUGGCAAGAGCGGUGUGGCCAGGAGUGCACAGGCGCAGGGAAAUAGAACAAUUAAGACAAAAAAAAAUGCAUUGGAGGCAGACAGGCUUUAUUUUGUUUGGAUGGCAGCACAAACGAAGCACCCUCCAGCCUUAUCGCCACCAGCAUGCUAGGGGCAGGCAGGCCACAGAGGGACUGGGCUGUCACUGGGCGACCGGCUGAGGCACGGCCACCUGCGGCAGGGAGGGCACUGGGCAGCCGUUCCCGGGAGCCACUCGGGAUGGUUGGUUUUAUGGCUGGUUUGGUGGGAGGCUGGGUUAGAUGGCUGGUUUGGGUGCAUGAAACACAACUCGAGGAGCCACCCAUGCGUGUCUUAGAGGACAGGGCUGUCCCACCAUGGAACGAUGCAGG
rnacentral:lncRNA from 1 species